rnacentral:rRNA from 1 species
GAUGAACGCUGCCAGAAUGCUUAACACAUGCAAGUCCACUUGAAUUUGGGUUUUUACCUUAGGUUUGGGUGGCGGACGGGUGAGUAACGCGUAAAGAACUUGCCUCACAGCUAGGGACAACAUUUGGAAACGAAUGCUAAUACCUAAUAUUAUGAUAAUAGGGCAUCCUAUAAUUAUGAAGGCUAUAAGCGCUGUGAGAGAGCUUUGCGUCCCAUUAGCUAGUUGGAGAGGUAACGGCUCACCAAGGCGAUGAUGGGUAGCCGGCCUGAGAGGGUGAUCGGCCACAAGGGGACUGAGACACGGCCCUUACUCCUACGGGAGGCAGCAGUGGGGAAUAUUGGACAAUGGACCAAGAGUCUGAUCCAGCAAUUCUGUGUGCACGAUGAAGUUUUUCGGAAUGUAAAGUGCUUUCAGUUGGGAAGAAAGAAAUGACGGUACCAACAGAAGAAGUGACGGCUAAAUACGUG